CAGAUCUAGGCCUUGGGAGGUGGCUGGGAGGAGAGGGCACAGGGGCACAGUUCGUGGGGCUCAGAGAGGCAGGGGAGGAGGGAGAGAGGAGGAGGGUCCCCAAGGCCAGGGUCACCAAGUUGCCCUCCCCUAGAGGUGGAGGAGGUGGAGUGCCAGCCUGUGACUCACCCUGCCAGCUCGGCCUGGACAGCUGUGCAAACAGACAGAGGGAGGGGCUCCCAGGCCGCCUCCGUGCCCCGCCCCCUCCUCCGCCCCGGAGUCUGCCCCACACUGCCUUCAUCCCUUCCCGCCAAUGCUGCUCUCUCCCUGGAACUGCACGACGUUAGCGGUGAUGUUCUAGACCUGAAAGGGAGGUGGAAGGAGAGGCAGGGCCGUCCAGGGCUCCCUCACGGAGAGUCCCCUACCUCCUUGGGAGAGCUCACUCCAAGGACAGGACAGCCGGCCCCUCUCUCCCUGGCCCCAGCAGCAGCAGCCACUCACGCAUCUAUCCCCUCAUCCAGUCCCUUCAGUCAUUCAUCUGUCAUCUCACCCCUGAGUACCAGACCCAGGUGCCCUGCUGCCCCACCGCGUCUACCUGGGUGUCUCCAGGGCAUGCCCAGCUCCCCAUGUCCCAGGCUCCACUCUGUGGUGGCCUCUGCACUGGCUCCGCCUUCCAUCCAUUCUCCGCACAGCAGCCAGAGUCAUUUAAGAAAGUGCUGGUCUGCUCACCUCUGUCCCUGUUGGAACUUUUUAGUGGCUUUCAGUUAGACUCAGGAUAAAUCCCAAAUUCCUUGCCACAGCCAACAGGCCUUCCAUGAUGUCUCUCUUUGUGCUGUUUCAUAUCCCACCCCAGCGGACUAUAAGCUUUGUGAGGCCAGGGACAAGGCCAUUGUCACUCCUGUCUCACUGCGUGAUGCUCGGCCUAUAAUGGGCACUCAGUAAAUCCUGGUGGAUCUGACUCAUGUGCUCACACGCUCGCUCAUCGCUCACUCACCCCCAGCUUUUCACCCAGCCCCUCCUCCAGGCCAGGUCCCGCACUGGUUUGGGGAAACCGAGGUGAAUCAGAGGGCCAUCCUUGUCUUGCCCGCAUCCCCAGGCUGGCAAGGGGAGUGACACAGAGCACCCAGCCCAAGGGACAGCGCUCUGCCCACCAGCAUCGCCCUUUCUUGCCAGGCUGUGGCCGUCUGGCCCUCAGUGAGGCGGAUCAGUGCGGGUUAGUCAGGAACUCUGGAGAGCUCCUUGGGCUGCUGAAGGCAGAGAGAACCCCAAGCACCUGCCGUUGGCCUGAGCUGCCCACACUGCAAAGAGCUCCUCCACGCUUUUCCCCAAAGGGCCCUCCUAUGACCCCCUCACUGUGUGCUAUCACACUCAUCACACAGGUGAAGGAGCCAAGGUUCAGAGACGGCAGGCGACUUGCCCAAGGUCACACAGAGGAUAAGGGCAGGAGCCAGAAGGUAUCGAGCGUUUACUGUGUGCUGUGCCUGCUUCUCCUCAUCCACCGUGCGCUGUCACAUUGAAUGCUCACACGCUACUCUUGAGAGGUGGGGAGUGUUAUUUCUCCGUGGUUAGCUAGCAGCCUGUCUUUACCCGAGAUUGGACGCGGCAUCUCCUGUGGUCUUUUCGGAUGCUACCUCUGGUGUGUCUGUUUUCCAUUGCAAGUUUCCAGAAGGCGGUGGUGACGUCUGAUGGCCUUCUCUGAGGUCUGCUCUGUGAGAGGGGACGACCAGGUGCUACGGAGAGAGAACUGCGGCUGAGUUCUAGAGAGCCUGGAGCGAGGCCCCGCCUUGCGUGGACUCCUCUGACCACCCACCUGGAUGGAGGGUGUUAUUCCUAAAACCCCUUCGGAUUCUAACAUGUGUGGCUCUGAGAUGCUGAUCCGAAUGAGGCUCCCUCCCUCUGCAUGGAUUCGCGCUGAGAUGUGUGCUAGAAAAUGCCAUUUUGAUCACGGUGAAAGUUCUCAAAACAUUUGAAACCCAUUUUCCCUCUCUCACUUCAAUUGCAGGAGGAAUUAAGUCCCAACUCAGUUUCCCUUGGUGUCGGGUGUGGCCAGGCCAUCAGGGGCUGAGUCUGAGGCAGGCUCAGGCUCCACUUAGCAGUGUGAUGAUGGGGAAAAGCUCUCAAGGCCUCCAUUUCUCAGCCAGAAAAUGGGGGCCCCAUGACUUAACCUUUCUUCUUGCCCUCUGCCAUGGUCUGAAUGUCUGAGUGCCCCUAAAGUUCACAUGUUGCAUCCUAACCCCCAAUGUGAUGUAUCAGGAGGUGGGACCGUUGGGAGGUGAUUAGGUCGUGAGGGUGGAGCCCUCCUGAAUGGGAUUAGUGCCCUUAGAAAGGAGGCUCCAGAGAGCUCCCUCGCCCCUUCUGCCAUGUGAGGACACAAAGAGAGGAGGGCCGUCCAUGAACCAGGAAGAAGGUUCUCACCAAACACCGAAUCUGCGGGCACCUUGAUCUUGGACUUCUCAGCCUCGAAAACCGACACCACCAGGGAGAAGCCACACCGGAGCCUGUUCUUCCUCGGUCACCCCCAGAUGUUGCAGCCCAGGAGCAGCUGGGCGGGGCCUUGAUGCCAGGAGCGUCUGCGUGUCCUGAGCCCUCUUCCUUCCUCCAGGAGGUCCCGUUUCUGCUGCGGCCCACUGAUCUCAGUGGCUCCACGGGGCUGCCCCAGUGACAGUCUCUCCCCAGCAGGAGCUGGAGAUCCUACCCCUUGGAUGGGAACAAAAUUAGGGAACAGUUGAAUUAAAGUUCAUUCUUACUAUCCCGUAGGCAUAUCUACGUAUGUGUACAUAUAGAAAGAUAUGUAUAUGCAUAUAUGCGUACAUGUGUAUAUAUGCAUAUAUAUGUAACGCUUAUGUACACACACAUAUACACACCAAAUGUUAACUGGGGCUGCUUCUGGGUCAUGGAAUGACCUGUGACUUUUAUUUCUAUCUUUAUGCAUUCCGG
rnacentral:lncRNA from 1 species